GACGAACGCUGGCGGCGUGCUUAACACAUGCAAGUCGAACGGAAAGGCCCUGCUUGCAGGGUGCUCGAGUGGCGAACGGGCGAGUAACACGUGGGUGAUCUGCCCCUUACUUUGGGAUAAGCCUGGGAAACUGGUCUAAUACUGGAUAGGACCAUGCUUUAGGCGGCGUGGUGGAAAGAUUAGUUUCGGUAAGGGUUGCGCUCGCGGCCUAUCAGCUUGUUGGUGGGGUAAUGGCCUACCAAGGCGUCGACGGGUAGCCGGCCUGAGAGGGUGGGCGGCCACGUUGGGACUGCGAUGCGGGCCAGCCUCCUGCGGUAGGCCGCAGUGGGGAAAAUUGUACAAGAGGCGCGAGCCUGAAGCGGCGACGGCGCGUGGAGGGUGACAGCCUUCGGGUUGUAAACUCCAUACAGCCAUGACGAAGCGCUUGUCGUGACGGUAGUGGUAGAAGAAGCACCGGCUAACUACGUG
rnacentral:rRNA from 1 species